CCGGGCCGCCGUCCCCGCAUUCCCGGCUCCCCGCUGCGUUCCUCGGGCCCCGCCGCAUUCCCCGCUCCCUGCCAUGAGCUGGGACGGCGCCGGCGAGGAAGUCCGGCUCCUCCUGGACCUAUGCCUUCAGUGUUUGACAAAGAAUCUUUCCAGAUACUCUGCAGAUAUUAAGUCAUUGCCACCCAAUAUAAAGGAUAAACUGAUUAAAUUAAUGAGUAGGCAAGGGCAAAUUACUGAUGCAAAUAUCAGUGAGGUAUUGCACCCUGCUGUGGAGUCUCUGGAUCUCCGAGACUGUGAUAUUUCAGAUAAUGCAUUAUUGCAGCUUUAUAACUGCAAGCAGCUGAAAAAAAUCAACUUAAAUUCUUGCAAGGAGAACAGAUUUGGAAUUACUUCGGAAGGAGUCAUAGCACUGGCCUUAUCCUGUCCCUACCUGCGUGAAGCAUCUUUCAAAAGGUGCUGUGAUAUAACUGACAGUGGAGUUCUGGCUCUUGCACUCAACUGCCAAUUCCUACAAAUAGUGAACUUGGGCAGCUGCUCAGGCAUCAUGGAUGCAUCUCUGCAGGCACUAGGAGAGAACUGCAAAUUUCUUCACAGUGUGGACUUCUCAUCUACUCAGGUAACAGAUGAUGGCGUUGUAGCACUAGUGAGUGGAACAUGCUCAAAGAAUUUAAAGGAGAUCCACAUGGAGCGCUGUGUGAAUCUCACGGACAUCGCUGUAGAAGCCGUCCUUACUUGUUGUCCCAAGAUACACAUUUUUCUCUUCCAUGGAUGCCCACUGAUAACAGAUCGGUCCCGAGAUGCUUUGGAGCAACUCAUCAUAUCAAACAAAAUCAAACAACUAACAUGGACUGUUUACUGAUUAUUUAUCCUGUACAUGUGAGUGUCAAGUUUACAGGUGGGAGAGGUCUUUCAGCAAACAAGCACCUUGCAAGAACUAGCUGGUGACUUUUGUUCCAUCAGACUGUUUACUGAUUAUUUAUCCUGUACAUGAGUGUCAAGUUUACAGGUGGGAGAGGUCCUUCAGCAAACAAGCACCUUGAAAGAACUAGCUGGUGACUUUUGUUUCCAUCAGGUUGCAUCCCUCCUGCUUCCCACUGGAGGUCUCCAUUGCCAUUCCAGUCCUUGCCUGUGAGCCUGGGCUUCCCCAUUGUCUCUCCUUGGAGCCCUGUCUGUCUUCGCAUUGAUCAAACUUCAUUAAGAGUAAAGUUAAACUGUAAUUAAUAUAACAGGGCCGUUGCUCAGGCUUCCCAAAGUGCUGGAUUUGGCUGCUACUUAGUAUCCUUUAUCAAUUUAGCUACAAACCCAGUUUAGGUAAAUCUGUGUUCUGAGUUUGUAUUCUGGGGUGAUACUUGCAAUUAAAAGUACCCAGCCGAAAUGUAACAUUGGCAUGCAGCAGUGGCUGUGAAGAUGGGAGUUGAAUCUAACUAAAAUCAACAGCCAGAACUGGUGAAUGGAGGUGGCAUUAACUGUGAUACAAAUGUACUUUCAGUAGUAACAAAGAAUCUCCUUUCACCACAUACUUUUGCUAGAUCUGGAAUAAAAAACAUAGGUACCUUUCUUCUAUGUUACUGAUGCUGCAGGUUGCUAUUCUUACUUACCAUCAAAUACUUGCUGGAUUUUUACACAUCCAAAAUGUGAAUGUGUAAACAUAAACUUGCUUUGGAAUUGUUAUGGUGACUUUACAAAUUUCAGAGUAGAAGCUGUGACCAAGAACAGGAUUUUAUAUAUGGGCAAAUAUUUAAUUUGCCCUGGCUUUUGCCUGUGUUUCUACAUGAAAAUCCUUUUAGGGAACAAAACACCGGUAGUCAUAAACGUAUCUGUGAGUGAAAUAGGACCAAAUGUAGUGUCUGAGGAUAUACAUCUCAGGAUGGUAGAGUAUGUGUUCUGCUAUAUGUAGUUCAUUAAAUAUCCAGUGGCCCCUAGAGGCUGAAAAUAUCAAUAAUUGUAUUGUUCAGUUAUAGUAGUAUUGUAAAAUAAUUUUUGAACUGUAGAGAGAGUUUAUUACAUGAUGGAGCAGUGCUCUCAUCACAAUUAUAAGUCAUGUUCCUUGGCUUUCUUGAACCAGCAUAACCUCCAGUCAGAGUCCUAUGAUUUCUGCAUGAAGCUCCUUAAUGCCAGCCAUUUUAGCUUUAUAAGGGCAUGGAGCACACAGGGUUCAUCCUCUGGAUGUGGAGGUAGAAGGCUUUAGCUAUGGUUGUCUAACAUGGAUUUGAUGACAUAUGGAAACCUGAAGAGUUUAGGCAACCAUAAGGAAUAUGUUUACCAUUUAACUCUUGUCAUAGCCACACCUAAGUGUUGCAGAAAUAAACUAGUCUUAUAUUAAUCUCUUUAAAGUUCAGGUCUAAUUGCAUGGAAGGUAUUUUUUGUUGCCAAUAUUAAAGGAUAUUAUGAUGUCUGACUAUAAUGUUUCUUCUUCUGUUGAUUAUAUGGUUUUUGAAAGUGCAAGUCUAUUUAGAAAAGUUGUUCAGGUGUCAGUAAAAGCGUAUUUUUCCAAGACCAGCACCUAAAACCCUUACUCUUGUUGCGUGGCUCAGCCCAGUGAUGGAUGUGUUCCUAUGAUCUCUGUGAGUGUAACUGCACCAGUACAAACCACUGGUUCGAGAAGGAGUUGAUUUUGCUACAGUAGCCACAAGCAUCUGACAGCUGUCACUGCAGCAAAUCCUUGCACCAGAUAGAGACCUAAUAACCUAAUCUACUAGUUUUUGUGGUGGUUUGUUUUUGUGUUUGUUUGUUUGUUUUGUUGUUUUUUUGUUUUUGUUUUGUUUUGUUUUUUUGCUGAGGAGUAGUUUAUUGUUAUGCCCUGUGGAAUCCCUGGGAUCAAUCAGGGCCCAUCGUUCCUUUGAACUCUUGGACAAUAAAUCUGUGUUGCAAUAUUUUUGAUAUUGAAUCAUAUAGCUCUUUAGGCAGCUCUGUGAAACAGUGCUACUGCUAAUCUCAGUGGCAAAGAUGACUUUUUUCUCCUUGCUAAUAUAACCUUGGAUUUGUCAUGUUGAAGGCAAAUACAGCUUAUAUGUACCCUUAAGUGUGCCUGUAGAUUUACCAUCUUCCCCUACAGCCUGUUCUCAAUGUGUGACGUAGUGGUACAUCCUCACCUGGUCCUUAAAAAGCUGUACAACACUGCAGUGAGGUAACAUUGUAAUUUUAGGUUUAAAAGUUUAAUGUAAGUUACUUUAAAUCCUUCACCGUUAGAGCUUGAGUCUGCCCUUACUCAGACUUUGUGUUUUGUAUUUGCAUAACUCUACUGGAAUGUUUUUUGGUUCACAGUAAUUUUCAACAAAUGUUUACAGGCACUGGGUGAAGUGGGAGAAGAACCUCAUGGAUGUGCUUACUACUUCAUAUUCUCUAUUGUUUGGACAUUGUUAUUGUUGUGAGCCUUGCAGAAUAUCCACAUAUUGUUAUGAAGAUUAAAGUUUAGAAGUUGGCUGUUUGGAUAGUUCUGAAAACUUGUUGGAUUCUGGAACCAUGUACAUCUGACUGUACUCCUAAACCUCCUACUUCAUGAACACCAUGGUUUUCUGAACCCUGGGCCUUUCCUAUGCUGAUCCUGCAAGUAUACUCAGCAAGAAGUGGCCUGAAAGGAGAGGAAAUGUUUUCCAGCCUCCCUGCUUAGAUCUCCUUCACCAUCCAUUAGUAUUUCCGUAUCCUUUUUCCUUCUUCACCUUGCUCUCUAAUUUCUUUUCAAUAACUCAGACUUCCUUGCUUCAGGGCACAGCUUUUGAACCUCCCCUGAAACUGACGACCAGAGAAGCAUUUCAGGCCUGUGCUUCCACAACAGCAAGACUGCAAGUACAAACAAACAAGAAACUGAACUCGUUGUUUUGUAAUUGCUUUCUUUCUUCUGCAGUGGUUUCCACAAACCAGCAGAAUAAUGCAUGAAGAAAAACAACUUUCAUCCCAGCCCCGACAGCUUUUCACAACAAAAGAAUCAUGGACAACUUCAAGCUGUGCAGGUUGUCCUUAAAAUUAGACAAAGGGACAACAGGAAGAAUAUGCCAGUGAAAGAGUCUUAACACUUUGUAUUUAAUUAGAUCAGUUUUUCUUUAUUUGUCUGUAUCUUUAGAAAAAAAGUAAUACAUGUGUUAUGUGUAAUAAGCAUCAUUCGCACCUAUAAAGUGAUAUAUGGAUAGGAGUUUUUAUAUGAUUAAAUAUAGACACAAAGCAAGCGAGCCAGGGCAAGGGGUGGGGGGCUGUCUCAUGUAUGUCGAAACCAUAGUAGACAAGGCUUCAUUUACAAGUUAAUACAAGUGGCUCGCUCGGAGAUGGGCCGUUUCUUGAGAUUAUCUAGGAAUGGACAAGCGAUGAUCGUCCCGACAACUACCCGAGAUUGGAAUCGCUGGAAUCUCCGGGGGAUGCAUCUCAAUGUCGGUUCCCGUAACUUCAUAAUCGAUGUACAUCGCUUCCCGGACCUCGGAUUCUUCAACCCAGCGCAGAGAAAAGGGACUUUAUGAAUAUGUGGGACUUUGAAUGGAAAGAAAAGGCUGAUCACCGAAAUCCCGGUCUCAAGCAAAAUAAACUGUAUAAAAACUGCUCGAGCAGAACGGAUGAUGUGAAGCAUAGGAUACCCUCUGCUAGAGUGGUUGAACCUGUGUCUCACCCAGCGCCAAUCCCGGGCUCGGCACUGUCCUUUUCUUUGUGGCUGGCUCAGAUAGAAUUUGAUCUUUAUAAUAAAAAUUAUUUUUUCUUUUUU